rnacentral:lncRNA from 1 species
GAAGAAGCCAAUUCACCCCGGUGACAACAGCUACGGGUACCCAGAUCGAAGCCUCUAUCCCAGCCCGUCUUCCGCCCCUGACUUGCCCUCCCCUUCCUCCAGUCUCACCUCAACCCUCCCCACCCUUCCCGAAGGGGCUCCGUACCUGAUGCUCCUCGAGCUCCUGCACUAGCACCUGAGCAAAAGGGAAACACAGAUAUGAGGAGCAGCUCGGGCCAUCAACCCAUUCCUCCCUCCACACUUAAAGCCCAGCCGCUGACCGUUUGACUAGUCAAGGCCGGCCUUUCCCUCACCCUCAACGGAACUGCUCGUCCCGCUGCCUCGAUUUCCCCACUGGGACCAUUCACCACGACUCCCAGAUCUCUUUCUUCCCCUUACCUGAGCGGAUUUGUUGCAGGGUCCAGACUGCAAGAACCUAGCGAUCAGGGACUCUGCAGAGUUCCCCCUGGCAAGAAUGUUCUCACCAGAUGCAGCCUGUCAAUCUUGGACUUCCCAGCCUCCAGAAUCAUGAGGUAAAGAAACCUUUAUUUUUUAUAAAUUUCUUUUCUCAAAUAUUUAGUUAUAGCAACAUCAAGCAAAUGAAGACAAGCUAUUGUCAAAAAGACAAAAGAUAACAAGUGUUGGCAAGCAUGUAAGGAAAAAGAAACUCUUGCACACUGUUAGUGGAAAUAUAAAUUAGUACAACCAUUAUGGAAAAUUUUAUGGAGGUUCCUAAAAAUGUUAAAAAAAGAGCUACUAUAUGAUGUUACUACUGGUUAUAUAUCAAAACAAAAUGAAAUCAGUAUGUACAAAAGGUAUUUUCACUCCCAUGUUUAUUGCAGCAUUAUUUACAGUAGCCAAGAUAUGGAAUCAACCCAACUGUCCAUCAACAGAUAAAUGAAUAAGGAAAAUAUGGUAUAUACACAGUGGAAUACUAUUCAUUCAUUGAAAAGAAGGAAAUCCUGCCAUUUGCAUCAACAUGGAUGAACCUGGAGGAUAUUAAGUGAAACAAGCCAGGCACAGGAAGACAAAUACCACAUGCUUUCACUCAUAUAUGUGGAGCAUUGUACCCUGGAAUGCCAGUUCCUUGAUGAAGAGAUUGGAUUUUUUUGACUGAAUUCUAUAUACUUCUCCAAGUACCUGGUAUUUAGCGGCCUCUCAGCUAUUACUAAUACUUGUUUGGUCCUGGAGAUGUUUAAUAAUUACCUGUUGCUUUAUCUUGAGGAUAGCAGUCAAGUAGAAUGAAGACUGCUGAGGUGAAAAACAGACACACAAAAGCCUAAAUAGCCGAGAGUCCUCAGUUCACUGGAGGCUCCAGAUAUCUUCACAAUUGUAAAGACAGAAACAAAAAAUUUGAAAAAUACCAAAAGGAAAAAUAAGUGCAAACCAAAACAGGGAAUGACAAAGGAAGCCAUCUGAAGAUGCCUUCAUCAUCUGAACAUUUCUCAGUUGCUAUUUUACUUUUUGAAAGUAGACUGUUAUUUAAGAGUCAAUUGCAUUUAUCUGUGCCUCAUCUCCCCUAUUUAUUAUGCCUCCUCAAGGCAUUGGACAAUGUUAACCACAUUCCUUUUAACUCCCCAGAACAUUGAGUCUUAUGCAUCAAGUGAGAGCAAUUUAUAAGCCCUUCGUUAUGUUUUCCCGGAAACUAGAUGAAAGUGUUUUAAGUAAGGAGAAAUCACUUAAAAUGGUAAGCUUGUCUAUUUCUCUGCAUGGUUGAGGACGUCCAGCUGCUCUGGGCUGCAGUUUGUGUCCUGCCAUCCCUGCAAAACUUCUGCCUGAUAUCUGCCUUCACCACCACCCAACCCAAAGCAACUCUGAUUCUGGCAAGCUGACCUCUCUUUUUUCAGGGCAAUUUAUCUCUCCCUGUGCCCUGGGAGAGGCCAGACAACAGUCCUGAGAGACGCUGCCAGCAAGUUGUUUAUGCCAGGAGAGUGUUGCCCUACCCGUGGCCUCACUGCAGAGCCCUCUAUGGAGAGGGGAUGUAUCUGAUUCUGAUGUUCUUUUACAAAUCAAAUUUCUGCAUUUUAAUUUUUGUACCUCUUCUCAGACGCUGCAUUGUAUGAUAGAAUAUUUAUUUUAUUAUUAAAAAUGGUGAAUUAACUAGCACAUUGCUUUUUCUAUCUUAAUAACGACUAUCUUAAUUCUGUAAAAUUAUAAUGUAAGUCUUGAGUAAAGUAGUCAUUGCAGUAUUUUAUAAUCCUAGUCAUAUACCAGAGCUUUCUCAAGGGGAAAAGUAUUAUAGUUAUCUCUUCAAUAUUUGCUUAUGUGAAACAGUUAUUAACACCGUUUAUAGCUAACCCUGUCUGUAGUGACUGUUUUGAGAACCCUAAAUCUCUAAUUUAAAGGCCCAAGAUUUUAUCAGUUUGUAUGGAACCUGUGUUUGCUCCUCAGUCCUGGUUUCCUAAUAAACUUAUGAAGAUAUUUGUGAUGGAUUUCUGAAGAUUUCGAGUACAUGUGAGGGGAUUCAGUACAAAUUACAGGGAUUCAACACAUUGACAGCAGGAAAAAUGUAAUGAAUUGUUAGGUGGGGAAUGAUGUAAAGUGAAGUAAUCUGAAUAAAAGCCUAUAUUAUAUUUGUUAGCUGACUUAGUUUAUCUUUGUUGUCACUGAGGAAGCAUAAUUUUUUAUCUUCAGUAAUAGUGUAAGUUAUUGUACAAAGCCUAAAAAUUAGUAUUCUCUUUGUAAACAAAAGAGUAUCUGAGACAAGUCUCAAUCAUUUUAGAAGUUUAUUUUGCCAAAAUUAAGGACACGCCCGUGACAAAGCCUCAGGAGGUCCUGAAAAUAUGGGCACAAGGUGGUUGAGCUACAACUGGUUUUAUACAUUUUAGGGAGACAUAAAACAUCAAUACACAUAACCUGUGCAUUGGUUCUUUCUGAAAAGGCAGGACAACUAAAAGUGGGGGCUUCCAGGUCAUAGACAGAUUCAAAGAUUUUCUGAUUGGCAAUUGGUUGAAAGAGUUAUUACCUAAAGACCUGGAAUAAAUAGAAAGGAAUCUGGGUUAUAAUAAG